rnacentral:sRNA from 1 species
AAUUGCCUUGGGUCCUGCCGCACAGAGCGGCCUGUCUUUAUCAGAGGUCCCUCUGCCCCGGGGAGGGCCCCAGAGAAAACCAGAAAGAGAGUGAGAGACUGAGGAAGAUAAAGCAUCCGAGAGCCUCCCACACCAGCGCCUGAGCAGGAAGGGGGAGGGGCUAUGACUACGAGGCCCUGGGAGGUCACUUUAAGGAGGGCUGUCCUAAAACCAGGAGCCUCGAGCAGAAAGUGAAACCCUGAUGCUCCAGACAAAGAUCUUAGUCAGGACUAGCCGGCCAAUGAUGAAUCCUCAGUUCAGGUGUAUUUCGAGCUUAAGAACCACCCAGAGAUGAGAUUCUUCCACUGGUUCAGCAAGUGGAGGACGCUGCAUCGUGACCAGGAGUGCGAGGUCACCUGGUACAUGUCCUGGAGCCCCUGCACAAAGUGUACAAGGAAUGUGGCCACGUUCCUGGCCGAGGACCCGAAGGUUACCCUGACCAUCUUUGUUGCCCGCCUCUACUACUUCUGGGACCCAGAUUACCAGGAGGCGCUUCGCAGCCUGUGUCGGGAAAGAGACGGUCCGCGUGCCAACAUGAAAAUCAUGAAUUACGACGAAUUUCAGCACUGUUGGAACAAGUUCGUGUACAGCCAAAGAGAGCUAUUUGAGCCUUGGAAUAAUCUGCCUAAAUAUUAUAUAGUACUGCACAUCAUUCUGGGGGAGAUUCUCAGGUGAGGGUCUCCCUCCAGGCUCAUCGCCUGGCUCCUCUCACCUCCUGCUCAUCCUCUUGAGGCUUCUCCUCUGUCCCAGACCAGGUCCUCUCCUGGCCAGGC